GACGAACCGAGCGAACGUUGUUCGGAAUCACUGGGCUUAAAGGGCGCGUAGGCGGGUGCUCAAGUCCGGGGUGAAAUCCUCCAGCUCAACUGGAGAACUGCCUCGGAUACUGGGUGCCUCGAGUGUGGUAGGGGUGUGCGGAACUAUCGGUGGAGCGGUGAAAUGCGUUGAUAUCGAUAGGAACUCCGGUGGCGAAGGCGGCACACUGGACCACAACUGACGCUGAGGCGCGAAAGCCAGGGGAGCGAACAGG
rnacentral:rRNA from 1 species